CCUACGGGAGGCAGCAGUAGGGAAUCUUUCACAAUGGGCGCAAGCCUGAUGGAGCAACGCCGCGUGCAGGAUGAAGGCCUUCGGGUUGUAAACUGCUUUUAUAAGCGAGAAAUAUGAUGGUAACUUAUGAAUAAGGAUCGGCUAACUACGUGCCAGCAGCCGCGGUCAUACGUAGGAUCCGAGCAUUAUCCGGAGUGACUGGGUGUAAAGAGUUGCGUAGGUGGCAUAAUAAGUAGCUAGUGAAAUCUGGUGGCUCAACCAUUCAGACUAUUAGCUAAACUGUUAAGCUCGAGACCGUUAGGGGUAACUGGAAUUUGUAGUGUAGGAGUGAAAUCCGUAGAUAUUAGAAGGAACACCAAUAGCGUAGGCAGGUUGCUGGGACGGUUCUGACACUAAGGCACGAAAGCGUAGGGAGCAAACGGGAUUAGAUACCCGAGUAGUC
rnacentral:rRNA from 1 species